rnacentral:rRNA from 1 species
UACGUAGGGUGCAAGCGUUAAUCGGAAUUACUGGGCGUAAAGCGUGCGCAGGCGGUUAUGUAAGACAGUUGUGAAAUCCCCGGGCUCAACCUGGGAGCUGCAUCUGUGACUGCAUAGCUAGAGUACGGUAGAGGGGGAUGGAAUUCCGCGUGUAGCAGUGAAAUGCGUAGAUAUGCGGAGGAACACCGAUGGCGAAGGCAAUCCCCUGGACCUGUACUGACGCUCAUGCACGAAAGCGUGGGGAGCAAACAGG